rnacentral:rRNA from 1 species
GUGCCAGCAGCCGCGGUAAUACGGAAGGUCCGGGCGUUAUCCGGAUUUAUUGGGUUUAAAGGGAGCGCAGGCGGGAGAUUAAGCGUGACGUGAAAUGUAGGUGCUCAACAUCUGCACUGCGUCGCGAACUGGUUUUCUUGAGUGCAUUCGACGCUGGCGGAAUUCGUGGUGUAGCGGUGAAAUGCUUAGAUAUCACGAAGAACUCCGAUUGCGAAGGCAGCCGGCGAGACCGUAACUGACGCUAAAGCUCGAAAGUGCGGGUAUCGAACAGGAUUAGAUACCCUGGUAGUCCGCACGGUAAACGAUGGAUGCCCGCUGUUUGCGAUAUAUUGUAAGCGGCCAAGCGAAAGCGUUAAGCAUCCCACCUGGGGAGUACGCCGGCAACGGUGAAACUCAAAGGAAUUGACGGGGGCCCGCACAAGCGGAGGAACAUGUGGUUUAAUUCGAUGAUACGCGAGGAACCUUACCCGGGCUUGAACUGCAGAGGAAGGAUCUGGAGACAGUGACGCCCUUCGGGGCCUCUGUGGAGGUGCUGCAUGGUUGUCGUCAGCUCGUGCCGUGAGGUGUCGGCUUAAGUGCCAUAACGAGCGCAACCCCUUUCGUCAGUUGCCAUCAGGUGAUGCUGGGCACUCUGGCGACACUGCCACCGUAAGGUGCGAGGAAGGUGGGGAUGACGUCAAAUCAGCACGGCCCUUACGUCCGGGGCUACACACGUGUUACAAUGGGUGGUACAGAGAGUCGGUGCAUGGCAAUGUGCAUCCAAUCAUGAAAGCCAUCCUCAGUUCGGAUUGGGUCUGCAACCCGACCCCAUGAAGCUGGAUUCGCUAGUAAUCGCGCAUCAGCCAUGGCGCGGUGAAUACGUUCCCGGGCCUUGUACACACCGCCCGU